UUAAUUAUUGGUCGACUUUACUAAUUUAAUCAAUUUGACUAAUUUCUUAAUUUUGCUUGGCUACAAUUGAAUCAUUUGGGCAUAUUUUAUAAUCGCAAUUUAGCUAUUUUCUAUCCAACUUCCACAUUCCAUUGACUUGUAAUUUUAAGACCAAAUUUGGGUCUCCUCUACCAAUUUUCAGUGCGCAGCCCACUCAAAAGACCUAAUUUCAAUUCAAAUGUAGCACCAACCCAAUUUUUUUUAUUUUUUUCUCCUUUCCAGAAAACCCAUAUCCAAUUCUCCAAAUAAAACAUUCCCCACCAGCAGCCCAAAAAUAAUAACCCAACUAAAAUGAAUAACCUGACCCAACUCUGUUCUCCCUCUUCAACGUUAACAACAGCAGAAAAAUGGCAAGACGCGUGAAUGUCCCUGACCCGUUGUACGCGUUUUUCUCCUCUCAAGCGAGGGCGAGUCAAUGACGCUCCAACGUCUCUUUCUCCCUUUUCCGCAUCGUACAAUUUUUCACCAGCUGUAGCCGCCUGAAGAAUCGUCCUUGCAUCCGUGAUUUUUGCCUUUGACGCUUGGAGAUUGAGCCACGUAGCUUCGCCAAGUACGAUCGAUUUGAUCUAGCCGUCUACCCCCUUUUCCCUUUUCAGAAUGGGGUUGAAGUUUGAGAGAAAGGUGUUCGUCCAAAAAUGGUGAUUUUUUCAUAGUUUUAAAUUUUGAAUAGGCUCGGUUUGAUCGAAAAUUGGAUUGGUUUCCCUCCAAUUUUUUUCCAAACCCUAAUUCUUCCCCUUAUAUAUUGUAUUUUUCUGUUCACUUUGAGGGAGUUUUUCUUUGAGGAAUUUUACUAAGGCAUAAAGAAUCGUCAUAACAAAGAUAGUUAGAGGAUAUAGGAAAUACAUUCAAAGGAGGGCAGGGGGAAUUAUUUUUCGUUCAAGUCUCGCUUUUUCGAAUCGAUCACCAUCAUCUUUCUAGGCUAGUCUGAUCUCGAGUUUUCUUCUUAGACUCCUCAUUGCUGCUUGGUUCGUGUGGUGGAAGAGCUCAUCUCAUUUUCGUCUCUGUUUUGCUGCCCCUCUAAAGUUAAUAUCCAUUUUCUUUUAAGGAUCCCCUGCUCUUAAUAUGUUGUUCAUGAGAGCGUGAAGUUGUCUACAUGAUAGAAUGGAUUAUUUUUCUUAUAUUUGGACUUGUCGCUGGCCACAAAUUAGUAAUAGAAUCUGUUUGAUAAGCUAUUAUUGUUGUUUAUUUCCGUUUUCAGGACAACUUGGUGCCUGUCUAAGCUUAUAUAGCCAUUUGUAUUUCAUCGAACUCAUGGUUUGUUAUGCUCGUUCUAAGUUCGUAUCGUUCUUCAUUAUUUGGUCUGCUUUGUUGGUAUUCAUGACCAUGUUUUGUUAAGUAUUCUGAGUAUAUCAAAAUUAUUUCUACAUUGUUUUCUUUUCACUUUUUGAAGUUUGCUUUAUUUAAGUUUUCCUCUAUGUCAGUACAUACAUAUAUUCGUAUCGAAAUAUUAGAACUUCCUUGUGUUGACAAUUUUCUCUUUAAUAUAAGACUUAUGUAUUGAUUUUUCCACUCCUCUUCCUUUUUUAUAUGUUUUUUCUGUUAGAUGAUUCCCGGGUCAUUUGAAAGGUUUGACUUUGCUCAUUGUUUUCAUUGUCGAAGAACCAACGAUCGCAGUUACUGGUUUGUUUUCUUUUUAGCAGGUUUCCACAGUCAAUUGAAGAUCUGUAUGUUCUAACUCGAAGCAAAUUGUUUAUAGAAUUGUGUUAGUUAUGUUUUCCUCGUCUAUAUACAUAGGCAUAUUUUUUUUACUAUUAUUAAAACAAAAAUGAGCUAAGUUUGGGGAUGAUAAGAAUUGAACGUCACUUACGGUUUUUUCCUCUUGAGUUGCUGAAAUCACUUGUCACUUUAUGUGUAACACUUCGAAAAUAAAAGACGUGUUCUAGAGCCUAACAUAAGUGUCAUAAAGUCUAGACACUGUUUUAAGGUCUAUAUUAAUGAAUAUAAUUCAUUUAGGAAGUCUAGAAACCAAAACGUCCCAGAACAUCCAUGACGUUCAGAAACUAGUUCAAGGAGGCGAGCGUUAGCCUAGUUGACUAGAUUUUAGUAGUCGAAAAUCGAUGAAAAUUGGUAGAAGGGUAUCUAAAUGGGUUUAAGUUGAUUCAUAGUCGAAAUGUCCAUGUACAACUCCCCAAGGACCAACCUAAGGGCCCUUGAGGAGGACCCUUGCAAGUGGAGUCAAACACUGCCUGGGCAGUGUGCACCCAUGAGAGGCGGACGACAAGGCGUCGAUGCUACCCUUCGACCAACACUUAGCCGAUUCAUUUAAGGGUCUCAUUUUCACACUCUCUGUACUUAUCGACGGAUGUUUAGCACGGAAGGAGGGAUGGUCCGUUGAUUGAGCCACGGGGCAUCGAUGGGGUCUCGUAUGUGAGGGUCCAAUUUUGUUGCACGUUUUUAACUAAGUAUUAAAUAAUUAAUUAAGGGGUUUGGUGGUUAGUUAGGGAUUAAUGAAAUUAUAAUUAACUUAAUUGACCCCCCAUAUAAAGACGCCAACCCCAUUACACUAAUUACAACUCACAAAACAAAACUUUCUUCCUUCUCUCUUCUUUCUCUCUCUAUUGGAAAACAUCAUUGAAGAACAAUAUAGAGGAGGGUUUUGGGGGCUGUAAAGGGAAUAUUUCACCAUUUUUUCUUCAUCAAACAUUGAAGUUCUGGUCGUUAAAGUGCUUUGAAGAAGACUAGACGAAGCCUUGGAUCUCUUAUUCAUCCAAGUAGGGUAGGUCCUCAAUUUCCGAGGGCGAUGCCACUAUCUAGCUUAUGGAGUUGCUUUUAGUUCAAGAAUUCUAUGGUUCUUUCUUUCUAUUUAGUAUGAAACAUUAUAUAGCCCAUGUGAGACAUUUUUACUUUGAUGAUGUAUGGGUUAUGCCCAAGUUCUUACACUCUUAUUAGAUGGUUUUGAAAUAAUACAAAUAUUAUGACUAUUA